UGAGGAAUAUUGCGCAAUGGGGGCAACCCUGACGCAGCAACGCCGCGUGAGUGAGGAAGGUUUUCGGACCGUAAAGCUCUGUCGAGCGGGAAGAAAUGCAUAGUGGCUAAUAUCCAUUAUGCUUGACGGUACCGCUAAAGGAAGCACCGGCUAACUCCGUGCCAGCAGCCGCGGUAAUACGGGGGGUGCUAGCGUUGUUCGGAAUCAUUGGGCGUAAAGAGCGUGUAGGCGGCUGAAUAAGUCAGAUGUGAAAUCCCUGGGCUUAACCCAGGAAGUGCAUUUGAAACUAUUCAGCUUGAGUAGGGGAGAGGAAAGUGGAAUUCCUGGUGUAGAGGUGAAAUUCGUAGAUAUCAGGAGGAACACCGGUGGCGAAGGCGACUUUCUGGCCCUAUACUGACGCUGAGACGCGAGAGCGUGGGUAGCAAACA
rnacentral:rRNA from 1 species